rnacentral:rRNA from 1 species
AGAGUUUGAUCAUGGCUCAGGACGAACGCUGGCGGUGUGCUUCACACAUGCAAGUCGAACGGGGUAGCAAUACCCAGUGGCGGACGGGUGAGUAACGCGUGGGAAUCUGCCUUGAGGUAGGGGAUAACAGUCCGAAAGGACUGCUAAUACCGUAUAUGUAUACAGUCGGACACGGCUGUAUAUAAAAGGAGUAAUCCGCC